CUUGUGUGUCUUUGUGUAUCCACAUUGUUCUUAGCUAGCCUGCGUGUGUCUUAUGCUGCUGUUUUUUUAAACCUCUUUUCUACACAUUGAUUUCAGGUCAUGACGUUUUCUGUAGUUUUGUUCCCAGAGGAGGAUGAAUGUGUGGCAGUAGUUCCACACCUGUGGCUCAAAGGGGGACUGUUACUGGCCACCACACAGAAGUCCUUCAGCCACGACAAGUUUGCCAGAACUUGUUCACCACCUGAAGACACCUGGGAGGCUGUCCCUAAUAAGCUCAUCAAGAACGCAGCUCUCUACAGGUCAUUGACCAGGUCCUGCCGUGUAGUUCUGGGCUGAUCCCUCACCUUCCUCAUGAUCAUUGAUGCCCCACGAGCCCAUCCCAGCCUUGUGCAGGUCUACAAUUUUAUCCCUGAUGUCCUUACAAAAAGACCAUAAGACAGUUGCAGCUCGUACAGAACGCCGCGGCCAGGAUUCUCAG
ensembl:lncRNA